GCGUUCAGUAUCCGCGUGAAAGCAGGAGUGACGUUGGCUGCAGCUGUCAGUCCGUACGUCAUGAACGUUGAUUGCACAGAUGCCGUAACCGCCGUCAGUUCAACGUUUACCCAGCCAGUCCUUGAUAAGCCGCCGACAUUUGUAUCUGGGAUUCCUGGGAAUUCCCCUGACGUCUCAGACGACAACGUGAUUGCGACGUCACUGGUAAAGUUCACAACUACGGACCCUGAUACCACGUGUUCUGUGACGUUACCUGUGACAACCGUUUAUGAGAUCAGAAAAGUGACGGUCUUAAGCACGCCACCGAGACCCUUCACACGUUCAGCGUCACCGAUAGCGACAACGCCGUUAACUGCUCUGCAAGAGUGCCGGAAAACGCCCUUUUUGAAGUGAUUGCCGGUGUCGCAUCAAGGUUUACAAUUAACGUAAAGGCGGGGGUAACGCUAAGAGCAGCGAACGGACCUUACGUCAUCAACGUCGACUGCUCAGAUGGCGACAAUGACGUCACUGCGACGUUCACACAACCAGUGAUUGAUACGCCGCCGAGUUUUGUAUCCGGGAUCCCCGGAAGUUCCCCUAACGUCUCUGACUCCACUGUCACACAGAUGUUACUCGGGAAGUUUACAACUACCGACCCGGAUACGACGUGUUCUGUGACGUCACCAUCCACCACCGUGUAUGAGAUCAGAAAUGUGACGUCACCGGUGAAUGUUUCUCAACCAGAAUUUGAAGUCAGGAUCUCUAUCACCGUGACUGAAACUGCCAUCGACUUCAACGACCAGGCCGUGCCGUUGACGUUAACGAUACGGUGUACUGACGGCAACCCCGUCAACGUCAUCACCGGGACUUUCAACGUCAAUAUCGUUGAUGAGGACCCAGUUCUAACGUCGUUUCCUAUGACGUCAUAUCAGUUCCUAGAAGACACUUCCGUUUCCGCUCUGGAGCUAAACUCAUUCAGCCUUAAAGAUUCUGAUGACGUCAUAUCUGCUUGAUGUCAUCAGUCAAAUCUGAAAAUCAACGUCAAAGCGUUUCAGAUUUGGUACAAGGGACGCCCGCGAGCGUCCUUGAACUAUGACGUCACGCCCGUUCAUAACAUCGGGAUUAUUUGCGACGACGGCAAAGUCUUUAGCGCGAGAUAUUAUUACGCAGUGGAUCUGGAAAACAACCCUCCGGUGUUUGUUAACCUUCCUGCGGUUACUUUACGUCAAUAGCGGAGUCAGUGAUGUCUAA